GAUGAAGAACGUAGCGAAAUGCGAUACGUAAUGUGAAUUGCAGAAUUCAGUGAAUCAUCGAAUCUUUGAACGCACAUUGCGCCCCUUGGUAUUCCAUGGGGCAUGCCUGUUCGAGCGUCAUUUGUACCUUCAAGCUCUGCUUGGUGUUGGGUGUUUGUCUCGCCUCUGCGUGUAGACUCGCCUCAAAACAAUUGGCAGCCGGCGUAUUGAUUUCGGAGCGCAGUACAUCUCGCGCUUUGCACUCAUAACGACGACGUCCAAAAGUACAUUUUUACACUCUUGACCUCGGAUCAGGCAGGGAUACCCGCUGAACUUAAGCAUAUCAUAAGCGGAGGA
rnacentral:misc_RNA from 1 species